rnacentral:misc_RNA from 1 species
GAUGAAGAACGCAGCGAAAUGCGAUAAGUAAUGUGAAUUGCAGAAUUCAGUGAAUCAUCGAAUCUUUGAACGCACAUUGCGCCCGCCAGUAUUCUGGCGGGCAUGCCUGUUCGAGCGUCAUUACAACCCUCAGGCCCCCGGGCCUGGCGUUGGGGAUCGGCGGAAGCCCCCUGUGGGCACACGCCGCCCCUCAAAUACAGUGGCGGUCCCGCCGCAGCUUCCAUUGCGUAGUAGCUAACACCUCGCAACUGGAGAGCGGCGCGGCCAUGCCGUAAAACACCCAACUUCUGAAUGUUGACCUCGAAUCAGGUAGGAAUACCCGCUGAACUUAAGCAUAUCAAUAAGCGGAGGA